AACGAACGCUGGCGGCAUGCCUAACACAUGCAAGUCGAACGAAGGCUUCGGCCUUAGUGGCGCACGGGUGCGUAACGCGUGGGAACCUGCCCCUUGGUUCGGAAUAACACAGAGAAAUUUGUGCUAAUACCGGAUGAUGACUUCGGUCCAAAGAUUUAUCGCCGAGGGAUGGGCCCGCGUAGGAUUAGCUUGUUGGUGGGGUAAUGGCCUACCAAGGCGACGAUCCUUAGCUGGUCUGAGAGGAUGAUCAGCCACACUGGGACUGAGACACGGCCCAGACUCCUACGGGAGGCAGCAGUGGGGAAUAUUGGACAAUGGGCGAAAGCCUGAUCCAGCAAUGCCGCGUGAGUGAUGAAGGCCUUAGGGUUGUAAAGCUCCUUUACCAGGGAUGAUAAUGACAGUACCUGGAGAAUAAGCUCCGGCUAACUCCGUGCCAGCAGCCGCCGUAAAAC
rnacentral:rRNA from 1 species